rnacentral:lncRNA from 1 species
UGGUAUAUUGGUGCACCUAUACCAACCUCGUGGUUGGUUGAUUUUGGGAUUAGUAGUUCUGCUAAUGACGACGUUGUCAAACUCAGUGAGUUGAUGAAGAAUGUGCGACUUACUUUUGACCCAGGUGGCAACUCGAUUGGCUUAGAAUAUAUGAUCGGUUGCAUGAUUUUGUCUCAUUGCGUAAAUAAAUCAAAAGCAAACUUGAAUGUUGCCUUCCAGUUGUUUAUCGAGCUGAAUAGAGAAGAGUACAUGAAUCAAGAAGAGGG